CCCUGCUGUAGCUACACCAAACACCAAGAGCUCAGGAGACACAAAACACCCCCUUCUUUCUCUCUGUAUGAAGAAACGUUUAGGAACAACCAGAAAUGAUCAUGGAGCAUCUUUCAGUUGGUUUGUCGCUCUUGAAGGUGAGGAGCCAAGAAUAAUCAUUUAAAAAAAUAAAUAAAUAUAUCUAUAUAAAUAAAGCAAACAUCACAUUCUUUAUUUACUCGUAUAUACUUUAUUUUCCUAUAAAAUAGAAGUAUGCGUGUAUAACUUUUCGUCCGUAUAGUGGCGCCCCCUUUUGGCUUCAUGUGGUAAUGCGCAGGCCUGCAGAUUUUUUUUUAUACAUGCGAUUAAUCCACACUUAUGGUCAAUUAUAGUGUUGAAAUCUCUAUUAGGCUUGUUUUCUUUAUAUAAAUUAGUGUAGUUAGCGUGAGACACCAGUAACGCAGGAUAAGA